ACGCAAAUCGUGCCAAACAAGCCAUGUCAUGAUCAACCUAAUCCGAUCUCGCCGUUUCUUUACAUCCCUCCACCCCGCCACCGCCACCAUCUUCACUGCCGUCCGCUUCCCGAUCUCUCGCUUUCUCACUCACUCCGUCACUCGCUUCCUCCAUCAUCUCAUGGACGAGCCCACAGGCACCGUCCUCUUCACCACCGUCGGCCGCCCCUACUUCGGCUUCGACGUCUUCUCCCUCGACCUCGCCUCCGGCCGCGAGCGCCGCCUCACCGACGGCCUCUCCAUCAACUUCAACGCCCAAUUCGCCUCCGCCGGUGGCGAGGAUGGCGAGGACGACCCAGAUGCCGUCGUCUUCGUCUCCGACCGGACCGGCUGCCCCCGGGUCUACCUCGCCCGGUCCGGCUCCUCCCAGCCCGAGCCGCUCCCUUCCGCGCCCGGCAGCCUCUUCCACGACCGGCCCGUCCUCCGGAACGGCCGGCUCUACUUCAUCUCGGCUCACGAGGACCCGGGCAAGCCGUUCGCGAGCUGGUCCGCUCUCUACUCGGCCGACCUGGAGGGUACCCAAAUCGCCAGGUUGACCCCGUACGGCUCCGCCGACUACAGCCCGGCCGUCUCGCGGUCGGGGAAGUUCGUCGCCGUCGCGUCCUACGGAUCGCGCCCUUGGGGCGGCGAGUUCCACGCCCUGAAUACGGACAUCGUCGUGUUCCGGGAAUCCGACCCAACAGAGCGGGUCGUCGUGGCGGAGGGCGGCGGCUGGCCCACCUGGUCCGGCGACUCCAUCGUCUACUUCCACCGGAGGGCGGAGGAUGGGUGGUGGAGCAUUUUCCGGGUCGAAUUCGAGUUCCCCUCGGACGCGGAUAUCUCCGGGUUCCCGCUGGCCCGACCCGGAUCACUCCUCCAGGGGUCCACUGCUUCACUCCGGCCUCCAUGCCCGGCUCCAACAAAAUCGCCGUCGCGACGCGGCGGCGGGGCAAGAGCUACCGGCACAUCGAGAUCUUCGACGCCGGGUCGGAGUCCUUCGUCCCCGUCACCGAACCGGUGAACCCGAACUUCCACCACUACAACCCGUUCGCGUCUCCCGGGUCGCGGUACAUCGGGUACCACCGGUUCCGAGGCGAGUCGACUCAGGGCGAGUCGAGGGUCCCGAACCUCGACCCGAUCGCGUCGCCCAUCAAGGGGCUCCGGAUGCUGAGGCUGAACGGGUCGUUCCUUCUUUUUCCGCGGACGGCGAGCUCAUCGCCUUCAACCACGACUUCGAGGCCUCCGUCAACGGCGGCGUCAAGAUCGUCCGGUCCGACGGCUCGAGGCGGUGGACGGUGAUCAAGGAUCGGACCGCCUUCUACAACUCGUGGAGCCCCACCGAGAAGAACGUCAUUUACACCUCGAUCGGACCGAUCUUCGACUCGCCCAAAGCGACGGUCCAGAUCGCUCGGCUCGAGUUCGACUUAUCCGGUCCCGAGGGCGGCGUCAAAUGCGACGUGAAGGUGCUCACGAGGGAGGACACGGGAACAACGCCUUCCCCUCGUGCUCUCCCGAUGGCAAGUGGCUCGUGUUCCGGUCCGGUCGGACCGGCCACAAGAACUUGUACGCGGUCGAUGCCGUGAACGGCGAGUUCGGCGGCGGGAUCCGCCAGCUGACGGAUGGGCCAUGGAUCGACACGAUGCCAUCGUGGUCGCCCAACGGCGACCUCAUAGCCUUCUCCUCGAACCGGCACAACCCGGACAAUGUGAACGCCUUCAGCAUCUAUCUCAUUAAACCAGACGGGUCGGGUUUGAGGAGGGUUCACGUGGCAGGACCAGAGGGGUCUCCCGAGGUCGAUCGGGAGAGGAUCAAUCACGUGUGCUUCAGCAGGGACGGGGAGUGGCUGCUGUUCACAGCGAACUUGGGCGGGGUGACGGCGGAGCCGGUGUCGUGGCCCAACCAGUUCCAACCAUAUGGGGAGCUAUAUGUGGUGAGGCUGGACGGGAGCGGGCUCCAGAGGCUGACGUGGAAUGGGUUCGAGAAUGGGACGCCCGCGUGGCACUCAUCGGAUGACUUGGGCCCCGGCGAUCUAAGGUCGAGGAUCGGCGAGGGUUGGGACGGGGAUAAGUUGAGAGGGCAAUUCGAGGAACCCCUAUGGAUAUCUUGCGAUAUUUGAAGAAAAAUGCCACAUGGAGUAACCCCUAUGGAUAUUUUGCGAUAUUUGAAGAAAAAUGCCACAUGGAGUGGAGAAAAAUCAAGAAAAUAAAUUAAGCAAAUUUGCUUAAAAGGAAAAUAAAUUUGCUUAGUUUUCCUUUAUGUAUUUUGGAUUUUGGGUGGGGAUUGUAAAGAAAAUAAAGAUAUUUGAGCCUUGAUGCUCAAUUAAUGGAGCUUUACUUAGGCCCUUGAA